rnacentral:misc_RNA from 1 species
GAUGAAGAACGUAGCGAAAUGCGAUAAGUAAUGUGAAUUGCAGAAUUCAGUGAAUCAUCGAAUCUUUGAACGCCCCUUGCGCCCUUUGGCCAUUCCGAAGGGCAUGCCUGUUUGAGUAUCAUGAACACCUCAACUCUUCAUGGUUGUCCAUGAUGAGCUUGGACUUUGGGGGUCUUGCUGGCCUGUGGGUCGGCUCCUCUCAAAUGAAUCAGCUUGCCGGUUUUUGGUGGGCAUCACAGGUGUGAUAACUAUCUACGCUUGUGGUUUUCCACCAGGGUAACCUUCAGCAGUGGAGGUUCACUGGAGCUUACAAAUGUCUCUCCUCUGUGAGGACAGCCCUUUGAAUGUUUGAUCUCAAAUCAGGUAGGACUACCCGCUGAACUUAAGCAUAUCAAUAAGCGGAGGA